rnacentral:rRNA from 1 species
GACGAACGCUGGCGGCGUGCCUAAUACAUGCAAGUAGAACGCUGAAGAGAGGAGCUUGCUCUUCUUGGAUGAGUUGCGAACGGGUGAGUAACGCGUAGGUAACCUGCCUUGUAGCGGGGGAUAACUAUUGGAAACGAUAGCUAAUACCGCAUAACAAUGGAUGACACAUGUCAUUUAUUUGAAAGGGGCAAUUGCUCCACUACAAGAUGGACCUGCGUUGUAUUAGCUAGUAGGUGAGGUAAUGGCUCACCUAGGCGACGAUACAUAGCCGACCUGAGAGGGUGAUCGGCCACACUGGGACUGAGACACGGCCCAGACGCCUACGGGAGGCAGCAGUAGGGAAUCUUCGGCAAUGGGGGCAACCCUGACCGAGCAACGCCGCGUGAGUGAAGAAGGGUGUCGGAUCGUAAAGCUCUGUUGUAAGUCAAGAACGGGUGUGAGAGUGGAAAGUUCACACUGUGACGGUAGCUUACCAGAAAGGGACGGCUAACUACGUG